AAAUAAAAACUUGUUGAUGACUUCAAGGAACACUGAACUCAGAUCCAUAACAAAAACAUAUAAAUAAACAAUAGAAAAAUCUCACAGGAAACAAAGGUUGUUUUUUAUGACAAAAACAUUUAUUGACACUACCUCAAUAUGGGAAAUAUUAAGUUAAAAGGUAAUUGAACUUGCUGAUUUAAUUGCACAAUUGCAGUAACAUAUUUUUUAAACAAAGAAAAAUUACAGGAAAGUGGAGUCAAUGUACAAGAUUUUGCAAAUACAAAUGUAUUAACUAAAUAUUUGUUGGACUAAAAACUACAUUGAUAAGUACCUGACUACUCAAAGAAAUGACACAAAUAAAGAAUCUUAUAAUCUUAUCAUUGAUCUAAAACUGAAAAAUUCAAGAGAUACAAGAUAAAACGAAAAGAAAAAAGUGUAUGGGAUUAGCAAUUGAGUAGAUUAGAAAAAUAAUACUCAUUUAGAUAGACAUCUUUUUAUUAAAUUCCAGGGCUAUUUCAGCCUACAAAACUUACUAUUUCCUGUAAUUUUCAUUUAAACUAAAUAAACAAUAAUUUAUCUU
rnacentral:lncRNA from 1 species